AGAGUUUGAUCAUGGCUCAGAUUGAACGCUGGCGGCAGGCCUAACACAUGCAAGUCGAACGGUAACAGGAAGCAGCUUGCUGCUUUGCUGACGAGUGGCGGACGGGUGAGUAAUGUCUGGGAAACUGCCUGAUGGAGGGGGAUAACUACUGGAAACGGUGGCUAAUACCGCAUAACGUCGCAAGACCAAAGAGGGGGACCUUCGGGCCUCUUGCCAUCAGAUGUGCCCAGAUGGGAUUAGCUUGUUGGUGAGGUAACGGCUCACCAAGGCGACGAUCCCUAGCUGGUCUGAGAGGAUGACCAGCCACACUGGAACUGAGACACGGUCCAGACUCCUACGGGAGGCAGCAGUGGGGAAUAUUGCACAAUGGGCGCAAGCCUGAUGCAGCCAUGCCGCGUGUAUGAAGAAGGCCUUCGGGUUGUAAAGUACUUUCAGCGGGGAGGAAGGUGUUGUGGUUAAUAACCGCAGCAAUUGACGUUACCCGCAGAAGAAGCACCGGCUAACUCCGUGCCAGCAGCCGCGGUAAUACGGAGGGUGCAAGCGUUAAUCGGAAUUACUGGGCGUAAAGCGCACGCAGGCGGUCUGUCAAGUCGGAUGUGAAAUCCCCGGGCUCAACCUGGGAACUGCAUUCGAAACUGGCAGGCUUGAGUCUUGUAGAGGGGGGUAGAAUUCCAGGUGUAGCGGUGAAAUGCGUAGAGAUCUGGAGGAAUACCGGUGGCGAAGGCGGCCCCCUGGACAAAGACUGACGCUCAGGUGCGAAAGCGUGGGGAGCAAACAGGAUUAGAUACCCUGGUAGUCCACGCCGUAAACGAUGUCUACUUGGAGGUUGUGCCCUUGAGGUGUGGCUUCCGGAGCUAACGCGUUAAGUAGACCGCCUGGGGAGUACGGCCGCAAGGUUAAAACUCAAAUGAAUUGACGGGGGCCCGCACAAGCGGUGGAGCAUGUGGUUUAAUUCGAUGCAACGCGAAGAACCUUACCUGGUCUUGACAUCCACAGAACUUUCCAGAGAUGGAUUGGUGCCUUCGGGAACUGUGAGACAGGUGCUGCAUGGCUGUCGUCAGCUCGUGUUGUGAAAUGUUGGGUUAAGUCCCGCAACGAGCGCAACCCUUAUCCUUUGUUGCCAGCGGUCCGGCCGGGAACUCAAAGGAGACUGCCAGUGAUAAACUGGAGGAAGGUGGGGAUGACGUCAAGUCAUCAUGGCCCUUACGACCAGGGCUACACACGUGCUACAAUGGCGCAUACAAAGAGAAGCGACCUCGCGAGAGCAAGCGGACCUCAUAAAGUGCGUCGUAGUCCGGAUUGGAGUCUGCAACUCGACUCCAUGAAGUCGGAAUCGCUAGUAAUCGUGGAUCAGAAUGCCACGGUGAAUACGUUCCCGGGCCUUGUACACACCGCCCGUCACACCAUGGGAGUGGGUUGCAAAAGAAGUAGGUAGCUUAACCUUCGGGAGGGCGCUUACCACUUUGUGAUUCAUGACUGGGGUGAAGUCGUAACAAGGUAACCGUAGGGGAACCUGCGGUUGGAUCACCU
rnacentral:rRNA from 1 species